GUUGGUGUUGUGUUUAAAGUGUUUAUAAAGUCUCCUCCGUGAUAACGCGAGCGUUUAAGAGAGAGAAUUCUAGGCACACCUCUUCCUCCCCUCCAGAGUGCCCCGGCGUCUUUCUAGCCUCCGCCUCCAGGCGGGUGAGGAGGUGACACCUGAGAAUUCCUCCCUCUCACCCCUGACCCUGCCGGAAAGCGAAACUGAGAUGCGGGCAUUGGGCCCUGGGAAGCGUGGGGAAGGGGAAAGGAGAAAGCCAGAAAAUGGAGAAAUUAAGUCCUUUCCAUGGAUCAUUCCUUCUGUAAACAGAGAUCACAAAGCAAGAGCUUCAGCAUCCUCGUGAAAAAGACAUUUUGUUCUGGGUGUCAUCAUCUCCUUCCACUACAGCUUGCAAUUGGAACAAGCUUCACAUCCUGGGGGUGCUGCCUAUCUCUGUCUUGAUUUCUGUCUGUCUAUUCCUCCCAUUGACAGGAAUGUCGUUUGUAUCCUCCACGCAGCAGUUUGCAGAAAUCCAGCAAGGUUUAUGGUUUAUGUUGCCCAGCAUGUAUAAACACAACGCUCUCAAAUGCUUUUUAAAAAUCUAUGAAUUUGUUAGAUGUCUUCACAUCCUGGUCCUCCUACCCCAAUUCUCAAACACAAAGUACUCUGUUGCCCUAUUAUAGUCCUGCGAUAGUUCUGGCUAGGAUUAGGUUGACGGUCUAAGCCCCAAGAAAGGCCUGGCAUUUUCAUAGCAGGCUUUCCCCAGUGCUUUGAGUCUUCCUCUCUCACUCCCUUUUUCUUUUUCCCUCGGAGGAGGGGGUGUUGGGGGUGGGAGGUGAUUAGUAAAUGUUUCAGGUAAUCUGUGAAUUCUUAAUAGUCAUAUUUCCGUGGUGGAAGAUCUCCCUAUUUCUCUGAUGUGACAGGUUACAGAAACCUUGGUGUUGGGGGUUUUACAGAUAUUUACAAGUUCUAGGAGUUUGAACUUUGGGUCAAGAUGUUGAUUCCUUUUAAUGUGCGAGGGUGAAGGAGGUUUUAUUUUGCUUUAUUCUUUUGGAUAUUAUGAGAUGAGAUUGUAUCCAGUCUUGGCUGUAACCUAUACCAUAAAUGCAGAGCUGCAACCAUUAUUUCUGUCUCUUUCUCCUUUUAUCACCUACACUUCUAGAGAUAUUACUUUCAGUUUUAUUGCAAAUCAUCUGUGUCUUUAGUUUAAACCAUUAUUUUUCAUAUACCCCAGGCACAUUUCCCUUAUAAUGAGACAAAUUUUAGAUUAUUAAUGUUCCACCUAAAAGGAUACUGUACACUUUUCAUUGCCAAUAUGGGCUUUGAAGCUUAAAUAUCAACAUUUUUAUAGGAAAUUUACCCAUGUCAAAUUUAAAUAUAUUUGCUUAUAUUUCUUGGAAAAAAGAUUUUGGAUAACUAUCAAUUAAGCAGCCAAUUCCAUUUGGGGUGCAGAAAAUUUUGAGCCCCUUGAUAAGAAGGAACAAAAUUUUUCCUCUAAAUAACCAACUCUGGAUCAGAAAAACUGAACUUUUCUAAAUAUUUAUUAUUAACAAAACUUUUUUUUGUCUGAUUCCACUAGAAGCAUUCUAUGUUGUGAACACUAUAAAGUUAUCCUAUGUUGUGAACACCAUAAAGUUAUGAGGGAAAAAAUGUCAAAUCUAAAUUUUAUUUAGAAGUAACAUAUUGUUUUUCUGGACUUGCAAUCCAAUUCGAAUGCAUCGUUAGACUUUUCUGUUUUCUUAUGAUUAAACAACAAUGGCUUAAAAUGAUAGCAAGUCAACUGAAAAGUUGCUUUGGAAUAAAACAAAAGUGGGAAUGCCAACUUUCUUUUCUUCUCUAUAACUUCAUUAACAUGGUUGUAUAGACAUUUGCAUGUAAAAUGUAGCUAACAAAAAUUACACAGAAGUAAAUUUAGUCCUCUAGUGCCUACCUCUAUGGUGAAAUCAGACCAUUUGGCAUAGUUUGAAGUCUUCCAAGAAGCCUGGUUUCCACCUGGAAAAUAAAUUACUAAAUUUGAAUGUGUUACUUAUACUAUGGUGAGUUGUCUAUCUGUUACAUUUUAUUUUAGUGCAUAUACUAGAAAUUGUAUUUAGGGUGUUCUAAAAUUGUCAUCUGUCAAGGUAGAGAAUUAUAAUAAUAUAAUUAUACUCAGAAAGCGUUCUGAUUUUAGAUUAUUUUGGCACUGUUACAAAUAUGAUGAAUUUUAAAAAAAUGCAGAAUGUUUAUUACAAAUUCAUAUGUUUAAUUGUCAAAUUCUGAGAUUAAUUUAGAUAAGCUAUAACCAAAGUUUAUUUUCUUUGCAUUUAUUGGUACAUAGUUAAUGCUUAUACACAGGCUUCAGUGUAACACCUAUACACUAUUACAAUAUUUAGCUGUACUUAUUUGCUUUAUCUUUAAAUGGUACUUUGUCCCAAAAUUUUCUGAGUUUGAUAAAUUAUUAAACAUUUAUCAAAUCACUGUUGCAUUCUCUAUUCAUCAAUACAUUCUGUUUUAAAUCAUAAACAGUUUGAUUCUGAGUUAUAAGAAAUAUUUUGAGUAAUCAAAGAUUCUAUGUUGUAUGACAUAAAGCAUAAUAAUGAGAUUAUUGAUGAGAUGUCAUGAUCAGUGAAGACCAUACUCAGUGAAUUUACCCAGAUAAAACUAUGUGUUAUAAUGCCGCAAGUGUACACAGAAGUAGGAGAUAAAGAUGUGCUAUCAUGGCUCAGUAAAAACUCCUCACCACAGCUAGUGACAAGAACAAACAAUGUUUUGUUAAAAUCUGUAGGUUUUUCUUCAUCUCAAAGGAUAGUGCAUUAAUCUCCUAAAGAAAGUAAUUGUUCUCUCUGAAAUGUACAGUAAGUUGAGUUAAACAACUAGAGCAAGUAUGGUUAUGGAAUUUUAUUUUCUCAAGCUCAGAAACUUUUAAAUUUACUACAAUAUACCCAAAUAUGUCUAAUUACUAUACUACCCUUGCAGUGAUUACAAUUUUGAUGUUUGUCAUUUUUUACAUGCUAAAGUGCUUUGUGAAUCCAGGUGAUUAUAUAAUGGAUACCAUCUUCUGUGGGAGUGAAAAGAAGAAAAACUUGAUUCAUACUUAAAGGUGCUAUAUUUGAGGAAUGUGAUGUUAAAAUAUUUUCUCUUAGCACAAGGCAUUUGUUUUAAAGAAUUUAUCUGGAGGACUCAGGACAUUUUCUAUAUAGUAAACUGAAUGAUGAACAUUAUUUAAGGUGAUAAAUGGGAAUAAAUUUUAGAAAGUCAUAUCUCUAGAAAAAUUUACUUGACCAUUGGAUUAAUAGUCUAAGAAGUGAUGGUGAUAGAAUAACAGUAGCGUCUUGGUGAAGCCCUUUCUCUUUGCUAGACACUUCACGUACAUUCCCUCAUUCAGUCGUUAAUAAUCACCUAAUGAACCCAACGUGAUUUUGUUUUACUGAUGAGAAAAAUGAGGCUAAGUUUAAGUCACAUAGCUUGUAAUGGAUGAGGCUUUAUAGCUGUGGGACUCUAGAGUCCAUCUGAUCAUGUGAUGUAGUUCCAUUCUGGUUUCUGAAGGACAGAGACAUGGAGGAGGUUUGAAAACUGUCUCUUUCCCCUCUUAAAAUUCAGUUUUUCCUUUACUAAAUCCAAAAGAGUAAGUGAAGUGGUCCAAGAAUUUAGCAAUGUAGUCAAGGUCCAUUUGAUUAGGAAGUCUUUAUAUGACUAGAAACAGGAUUGCUUUGGCACAUACAUAAAGACUCUACACAUCCAUCCUCAAAUUUAGCAAUUUGAAGCAGUUAGCUACACGGACAGUUUUGUAUGCAUUGCUAAAUGCAGACACAAAAACUGCAUUUGCAAAAAGAGGAAACCCAGUUAAACUAGGUUGCAAAUUUGGCCCUAAUUUAGCGUAGCAUUUGUGAUACAUAUAGGUUAGAGUGACAUUUAUAUAAUGGUGUGAAAUAUGAGAAAGUUCCAAUGCUAGACACAAAGACUUUUAAAAAUUGCUUUUGCCUACUUUGGUUAGUUUAAGAAACAGGAGGAAGAAUUUGGUUUUUCAAGUGAUGGGAAGCCUUUAAGGAUGUUGGAACACUGUUCAGUCCCCUGGGGUUCUGCCUGCUGUACAAUUUUAAAUGUCUUUUAGCUAAAAAAUUGGCCAACAAGGGAAACACAGAGAUGAAAUAUCUUCUUUCUUAUCUGGAAAGUGAGAAACUAUAGGUGGCUAACAUAAUCCAAUUUUGAUAGUCGAAUAAAUGGUCAGCUUUUGGGGUUAGAAAGUCAUAAUCCUCCUUGUUAAUAUGUCUAUCUAACUGGAGUAACUACCUACCUAUUAGAAUUUAUCUUGGAAAUUUUGUCCUUAUGCUCAGUUGUAGACGUGUUUCAGCUUAAGAAAUACAGCCAAAAAUGAGACUAGAUAAAUAUACCAUGUUUCAUGUAAAUGCUGCUAUCAUGGUACCUGAAACUAUUUCCAUUUCUUCAUUGAAGACCACUGGAGGGCAGU
rnacentral:lncRNA from 10 species